rnacentral:tRNA from 1 species
GGGCGGAUGAUCUAGCCUGGUUAUGAUGCUGCGUUCACGCCGCAAAUCGCCGGUUCGAAUCCGGCUCCGCCCACCA